rnacentral:lncRNA from 1 species
AUUCAUGUAGGGUCUAAACUCUAAAGAUUAAAGACUCCAAAACUAAAAUUUUUAAUUUCUUAUUUGUCUUUGUCUAAACAAUAAACUGUUAACAGGAAGAGAAAAAUUAGGGCAGAUGGCCGACGGCGCAGCUCCUUAGUCGGGCAACUAGCAGGCGGCAGAUGGUGGGAUGGGUGACGGUAGUAAACUCAUCACUCACUCCUCCCUAAUUUACUUGAAAGGUAUGUUUCUUCCAUAAUUUACUUGAAAGCUUUCUCCUUUAAUUUUUUGAUAUGGGAGGUGUACACUGUACAGAGAUGGAGAUGAUAUCAGAAAGAUGGGUUUUAAACUAUACAUUGACUACAAUAGUUGUCUACAGUUGUUUGCUUUGCUAUAAUUUUGCUCUAGCUGUUAGUUUGAAAUUGUAAACCCGAGUCAAAAUUGUUCUUAAUGUUGUUUGAUUUCAUCAGCAGGUGUUGAAUAUUGGGUUCCGUUAGUGCAAUUGUUUGUUCAAUUCUGCUGCAUUUGCUGUUGGUGUUUUGGAUUUUUGAUGCUAGUUGGUAUUAACAAAUUCAAGUGUUUUAGUGCCAUGUUAAAGUUUUAGGCCACCGCACUAUAUUUUGUUAGCACAUGGCUCAAACCCUACCCAUGUACGCACCUACAACACGUGAUGUUGCAAAUAAUUCAGGCAACUAGUGCCUCAACUAAGUUUAGAUAAUAUACUUACCUCGAGCAAACAAAAUUACUCCACUAACAAGCCAUUCAUGCGUGUACCAAUCCCCAGACGACGCGAAUCUAGCCAAAAUAACAUAGUACCAUCAAUAAAAAGUACAGGAAGGGGUUCCAAAAGAUAAAGUUAUGAUCUUUAACUCAAAUUGAAAUAUCAACCCCGGGCCCAUACCUCCAAACCUAACCAAAUUCACAAAUUUCGAACACUCGUUCCAAUAUGAGUCCAAUCAUACAAAAAUCAUCCAAUUCUAACAACAAAUUAACCCUCAAAUCCUCAAAUUUCACUCGCCAAUACCAUAGUCCAAAUAUCCCCAUAUCCUAACUUUCAUUCUUGUAAACUAGGUGCUAUAAUCAUUUCGUAUUCAAUAUUUAUGGAGAAAAUGACUAAAAGUCAGUUACCUCUUGAAAUAGGAAGAGAAUUACUCCAAAAAUUAGUCUUAGACCGAAUUCUAAAAUUCAAAAAAUCAUAAAAUAACUCAAACCCUCAUUUUUAUUACACUGCCCAAUGAUCUUCCACACGAUGCCCAUUAAUCUGUAUCUGCAGGACCUCUUCUGCUAUCAAAAAAUGCAUAUGCGCUCUUCAUUAAACUCCCGACCUUACGUUAUCUAGACCAUCACCCGCAUCUGCGCAUUCGCACGUGUAGAGACUUUCUCCAUCUGUGGUGCAAGCUCACCCAAUUGCCUUUUGCUUUUGAAACCAAUAAUCUACAUCUAUGGACUCGCAUAUGCAAUUAUUCUCCGCACCUGCAACUAUUACCAUUCUUCAAUACUUCGUAUAUGCGCACCAAAUUUCCGCACAUGUGGCGGUGCAUCAACAGCCUUACCCACCACAAGUGUGAAAGCUGUAGAAGCUUAAAGCUUCAUCUACUUCUCCAAGACAAAAACUAAUCCAAAUUCAAUCCAAAUAACACUCAAGGACCCCAAGACCCUUUCUAAACGUACCAACAUGCUAAAAUACGAUAAAAACAUAGUCAAAGCCUCAAAUCACACUAAAAGACAUCAAAAUAACGAAUCACACCCCAAUUUAAGCCUAAUAAAAGUAAUAAACUUCCAACUUCUAUAAACAAUGUCGUACUAUAUCAAAUGAACUUCGAGUGACCUGAAAAUUUGCACACUAGUCUCAAAUGACACAACAGAUCUAUUCCAACUCUUGGAUCCAAAAUCCAAAUCCGUUAUAAGUAAACUCUCGGUCAAGCCCCUCAACCUUCCAAACCUUAAAUUUUUCAACUUUCGCCAAAAUCCACAAAAUCAACAUACGGACCUCCAAAUCCAAAUACGAACAUGCGCCUAAGUUCAAAAUGACCAUACAAUGCUAUCAGAACCAUUAAAACUCCAUUCUACUGUCAUUUAUACAAUAGUCAAACUCCAGCCAACCCUUUAAACUUAAGCUACCACCCUUGGGACUAAGUAUCCCAAUUCAUUUAGAAACAUUCCCGGAACAAAAUCAACCACCCGGAAAGUAACGUAACCAGAAGUGAUCAUAGAAUAAGCUUUAAACUGGGAAUAGGGAUAGAAUACACCAAACAACCAGCUUGAUAAUAACACUUCCCCCUCUUAAAUAAAUGUUCAUUCUCGAACGGGUUUAGAAUCAUACUUGGAGUCUCAAAUAGGUAUGGAUAACUGUAGGUCAGCAUACUGAAGGGAAAAUGAGAGAUUGUAGGCCACCUCCCUAAUCUUCUCAAGCACCUCAAAAAGGCCAAUAUAUCGAGAGCUCAACUUGCGCUUCUUCCCGAACCUCAUCACACCCUACAUGGGCAAAACUAUCAACCAAACCAUCACGAACCUUCCUAUCAACAUAAAUCUUCUAUCUAGACUGUGUUGUUCAAAGUUGAUCCUUAAUCAACUUGACAUUCUCUAAGGCAUCCGAAACUAGAUCAAUACCCAACAACCUAGCAUUUCCAGGCUCAAACCAGCUAACAGAAGAACGAUAUUGCCUUCGAUGUAAAGACUCAUAAGGAGCCAUCUAAAUAGUCGAGUGAUAGUUGUUGUUGUAGGCAAACUCUGCAAGUGGUAAAAAAUGAUCCCAUGAACCCUCGAUAUCUAUAACACUAGUGUGUAGCAUAUCCUUUAAGAUCUGAAUGGUGUGCUUGGAUUUUCCGUUCUUCUGCGGGUAAAUAUUGUACUCAACUCAACUCGUGUACCCAACUCUCGAUGCACUUCUCUCCAAAACUGCAAAGUGAAUUGUAUUCCCUGAUUGAAGAUAAUAGAUAUCGUCACACCAUUAACAUGAACAAUCUCACAGGUAUCAAUCUAUUGUAGUCUCUCUAGAAUAGGUAGUCACAACCGUAAUGAAAUGUGCAGGCUUUGUUAGUCUACCUACAAUAACCCACACUAAGUCAAAUUUCUUCAUAGUCUGUAGGAGCCCAACAAGGAAAUUCAUGGUAACCCGCACUCACUUCCACUUGAGAAUAUCAAGUCUCUAAACCAACAUGUCUGGCCUCUAAUGCUCGUAUUUCCCCUGGUGGUCAUUCAAGCACCAAGCCAUAUACUCUACUAUAUCUUUCUUCAGUAUUCUACACCAAUAGUGCUGCCUUAAAUCCUGAUACAUCUUAUUGGCUCCCAAAUGAAUAGAAUACCGCAAACUAUGCACCUCCUCAAGAAUCAGCUCACAUAACUCAUCCUCAUUGGGCAUACAAUUAUGAAUCCGCAUCUACAACACCCCAUCAUCUCAAAUAGAAAGCUCUUUGGAAUCACCAUGUUGCACUACCUCCUUAAUGACAAGCAAAUGUGUGACAUUAUAUUGACGUUUUUUGAUGCGUCAAAGACCGAGAAACUACCUAAGAAAGAAGUUAGAUAGGCUCCGAAAUAUCUAACCUCAUGAACUUAUUGCUCAAAGUCUUAACAUCCAAUGCCAACGGUCUCUUACCAACUAGAAUAUAUUCAAGGCUGCUCAGACUCUUAGCCUUUCUACUCAAAGCAUCAUCCACCAUAUCGGCCUUUACGGGAUGAUACAAAUGGUUAUAUCAUAGUCUUUUAGUGGCUCCAACCACCUCCUCUUUAUCAUGUUUAGGUCCCUCUGCUUAAACAAGUGUUCUAGACUCCGAUAGUCGGUAAAUACCUCACAGAACACGCUGUAGAGAUAGUACCCCAAAUUUCAAGCGUGAGCAAUGGCUCUCAUGAAUGGGGUUGUUUUUCUCAUGGGGGUUCAAUUGGAAAAUAAGCAAUCACCCGACCCUCCUUCGUCAAGACACACCUAAUAGAAAUCCACGAAGCAUCAUAAAAUACCAUAUAAGAACCUGAUGCUGCAAGCAAAAUUAAAGUCGGAGCUAUGGUCAAAGCAAACUUGAGCUUUUGAAACUCUUCUCAUACUUAUUAGACCAUCUUAUUAGGGCACUCCUAUAGGUCAAUAUAGUCAAAGUUUAGCAUAAAGCUUCUUCUCCCUCAAGUUUUGGAGUACAAUUCUCAUAUGUUGCUUUUGUUCCUCCUGGUUACGUGAGUACACUAAUAUAAUACCAAUGAAUACUAUGACAAAAAAAUCAAGAUUUGGCUUAAAUACAUUGUUCAUCAAACGCAUGAAAGCUGAUGAGGAAUUUGGCAGCCCAAAUGACAUCACACGAAACUCGUAACAACCAUAAGGGGUCCUGACAUCAUCUUUAGAAUAUAACAAUCCUAAAUCUUCAACUAAUGAUACCCAAACAUCAAAUAGAUCUUCGAGAAUACCCUUACAACCUGAAGCUAGUCGAAUAAGUCAUUAAUGUGUGGCAAAUGAUACUUGUUCUUAAUUGAAACUUUGUUCAACUACCUAUAAUCAAUGUUUAUCCACAUCGUACCAUCUUUCUUCUUCACAAAUAAAACUAGCGCAUCCUAAGGUGUAAAGUUGGUCCUCAUGAAGCCCUUAUCAAGCGGAUCGUGAAUUUGUUCCUCUAACUCUUUUAAUUUUGUCGGUGCCAUGGGAUCUACAGGAAUAGAGAUAGGUUGAGUGUCUGGCACCAGAUCAAUACCCAAAUCAACGUCCCUGACCGGUAGCAUGCCUCGUAGGUUUGUUGGAAAUAUAUCGGGAAAGUCUCUCACAACUAGAACUGACUCAGUGGUAGGGUAUCAACACUAGCGUUCCUCACAAAGGCCAAAUAGGCUAGACUUCCCUUCUCAACAAUCCAUUGAGCCUUCGAAUACGAAAUCACUUUACUGGGAACAUAAUCUAGAGAACCUCUCCACUCACCCCUAGGAUACCCUAGCAUCGCCAAUGUCACGGUCUUAGCGUGAUAAUCUAGAAUAGCAUGACACAGUGACAACCAAUGCAUGCCUAAAUUAACAUCAAAAUAAACCAUGAUAAGUAAUAAAAUAUCUAUCCUCGCAAUAAUCCCCCAAUGUCCACCAGACAUGACUAAUACACACGGUACACAAUAAUAAAAUCACCUACCGAGGAAGAUACAUGAACAUGCAUAACUAAAUAAUCAUGGGGCAUAUCCAAAUAACGAGCAAAGUAUGAUGAUUCUUAUGAAUAAGUUGAACCAGGAUCAAAUAAUACAAAAGCCUCCAUCUGUCAUUCUGAAACAAUACAUGUGAUCACGGCAUUGAAAGGAAUUGCCUCUGGCGUGGUUGGAAAUGCGUAGCAGUGAUCCUGACCACCACCUGAUUGACCUUCCCCUCUAGGAUGACCUCGAGUUGAUUGGGCCCCAACUUGAGCUGGCUGUGGGGGUGAUGUAGCUACUGGUGGUGAAAUCAUUAGCUUUGAGCUCUACUAUGGAACCCUACUUAAUAGUCUAGGGCAAUCUCUCUUGAGACAACUCAAGUCUCCACGCAUAUAGCAACACCUCCUGAUAGGCUGCUGACCUUGAUAGACUGAAGAACUGCCUGUGGAGACUUGGGCAAAUGCAGCAUGGUAGGAACUCUGCACUGGUAAUGCACGAAAUGAUGACUGAGGUGGGAGUGCACUGUAGGAACUAUGAUUAAUUUAGGAACCGCGAGGAAUAUGGCGAGUUUCUCGCAUGGGUCUAGACGAACGACAGUUGCUGUAAUAGGAUAGACCUCCAUAUGAGGCACCGCUGAAACCACCUGAACUAUAAUGUUUCUUGCCCUCUUGUUUCUCACGCUCCUUCUUGUGAACUAGCUCUAUGCGUCUAGCAAUAUUAACCACCUCGUCAAACCUCACACCCACCCUCGGGCCAUAAUGAAGCCUAAUACAUAAUUGAGGCCAUCAAUGAACCUCCUAAUAUUUUCCGUCUUAAUGGAAACCAACCAUACAGUGUGACGAGCCAAGAUUAAAAACCUCAUGUCAUACUGAGUCACAAUCAUACGCUCUUGGCAUAGCCGCUCAAACCACCUACGCAACUCCUUUCUGCAAGUCCAUGGGUAAAACUUCUUUAAGAAGAUAACUGAGAACUCAAGGCAUGUAAGUGGCACUUCAUCAUAGGGCCUGCUCAACUUAGAAGCCUACCACCAUCAGUAAGAUGCCCUUGUCGACUGAAAAUUUAUAAAUGAAACCCAAGUUGUGUCCAAAUACCUGUCGUGCGAAGAAUCCGCUGACAUCGGCCUAUAAGAUCCUCAGUAUCCCCUGACUCCGCUCUAUUAAACUCUAGAAGCUUAAGCCUUCCCAACUGCUCCAAUCUGUUCGGCUUCUCAUUACUCGUAUGGAGACCAACCUCGGCCCUAGUGGAAACAACUGGCUGAACUAGAAAUACAUCCGGUGUCUGGUGACCUAGAACUAGCUGCUCCAGAGUAUGGGCGAUAGGAGUCUUGGCACCUCCCCAAGCCUGUGAAGUGGCUGGUGCAGUUAGAACUGAGACUGCUUGAGCCAGGCUCGUGCACGCUGCCAAAAUGUGUUCUAAGGCUUUGAAGGCAUGGGAUCACAAAGGGCACUACUUGUUCCUGACCUGGUCCCACAAACUCGACAACAUCCGAUACCAAAGAUCUUUGGCUCCACAUGUGCCUCUCUAAACAACCAUCUAAAGUGGUUCCAAAAGAUAAACCGAAGAUCUUUGGCUCAAAUUUAAAUGUCAACCCAAAACCCUAGCCCGUACCUUGAAAUACAACAAAAUUAAGAAAUUUCAAACACAUCUAAUUCUGAGUCCAUCCAUAUAAAAAUCAUCUAAUUCCAACAACAAAAUCGACCCUCAAAUUCCCAAAUUUCACUCUCCAAUAACAUAGUCCUAAAAUUCCCAAAUUCUAACUUAGAUUCAUGAAAAUUAGGUAUUAUAACAAAUGGGAAUUUAAUAUUUAUGGGCAAAAGUGAUUAGAAGUCACUUACCUCUUGAAUUAGGAUGCGAAAUACUCCAAAAAUCACCUUACACUGAAUUCUAAUAUUCCAAUAAUGAGAAAUAACUCAAAGACUUAUGUUUAUUACACUACAGAGAGAUCCUGCACCUCCGCCCCAUUUAUCCGCUUCUGUUGUCAAAAUACGUAUCUAGCUCAUCAUUAAACUCCCGAACUUCCGAUUCUAUGGAUCAUCACCCACAUCUGCGGUUGUAGAGUCAUUAUGUAUGAUAAAAAAGAAGAGGAAAGAAGAAUGUUAAAGAAUUCCCUAUAAGUACUUCACUUAGCCUUUCUAUAUUCUUUCUUCUCCACUUCCCUCAAAGUGUGCUCUUUCCUUCAUACGCAUGGUUCUUUAUUAUACUUCCCCCUUUCUCAUGUUGGACUACAUUUUAUUUUCAAAGAUGAGUUGCAGAUGAGUCGGUUUGAUCACCCCACGUGUGGAUGAUUUUUAAAUGCCUUAUUGUAGGCCCAUCUAGUUGAUCGAGGGAUAAACAAGCAUAAAUAAGGGAUGGAGAAUCUUUAUUUGAUCUUGAUUUGAUGCAAUCCUUUUCUUCACCUGCUACGUUCACCAGCCUUCCCCACUUCUCAUCUGCGUACAAAUUGCGCACUUGGGACACCGCAUGCCGCCAUAUCCACCACUGGUGCGAAGCACUUGAAGCCUGAAGCUUCAACCUAUACUCCAAGGCCAAAACUAAUCCAAAUUCAAUACGUACACACCCUCGUGACACAAUCCAAACAUACCAACGUAUCCUAAAACAUGAUACAAACUUAGUCAAAGCCUCAAAUGACAUCAAACAAUAUCAAAAUCACAAAUCACACCCCAAUUCAAGCAUAAUGAAACUAAUGAACUUCCAACUUUAAAACCAAUGCCGAAAUAUAUCAAAUCAACUUCGAAUGACCUCAAAUUUCGAACACUAGUCCCAAAUGACACAACAGACCUAUUCCAACUCUCAAAAUCAAAAUACGAACCCGGUAUCAAUAAAAUCAACUCUCGAUCAAACCCCUCGACCUUCCAAACCUCCAAUUUUCCAACUUUCGCCCAAAUGCAACAAUAAACCUACGGACCUCCAAAUCCAAAUCUGGACAUACGACUAAAUCUAAAAUCAAUAUAUGAAACUAUUGGAACCAUCAAAACUCUAUUCCGGAGUCGUUUACACAAAAGUUGUACUUAAGCUUCUAACCUGGACUAAGUGUCCCAGUAAACUUCGAAACAUCUCUGAAAUCAAACCAACGAACCCAGUAAGUCACGUAACCACAAGUAAACAUAGAACAAGCAUUAAACUUGAUAACAAUGCUAUGAUACAUAAAUUGACCGACCGAGUCGUUAGAAACCCAAAAUUUCUAACAGGUAUGGCUCAUUUGAUAGAGAAGAGAUAACGCUCGAUCAAAACGGUAAUGGGUUAUAACUUAUUGCAAGAAUCAACGACAAUAUCUACAAGCUUGAUUUAUUUGGUUUGUAUAACAUUACUGCUUAUUUCUUUAAUAUUUUUGACGUAUCUUCCCCUGAUUUGAAGUCUAUUAAAAAGUUCUUCAAACCAAGUCAGAUGAUGCAUAUCCAGAAGCUAACCCAAGUCAGGCGAAUCCUUCAAAUAGAUCAUUUACGAGAAAAGCUAAGAAAUUACAAGAGCUUCAAGUUUUCCUUGUUUGAAGAAUGUGGGGAAAUCAAACAAGGAAAUCCAAGGACAAUUAACCUCCUCACGAACUCUUGUUUAGCUCAAUUUUCUUGGAAGCUAACUAUGAUGUGCAAUUUUAUAAACUAGGCGCGUGGAGUGUCAAAACUAUAAAUACUUAUUUUAUUUGUUGUCUUUCUUUUAAAAGACUGGAUCUUAACAACUGUAUAGAUUGUUUGGCCAUCUUAUUUUGAAACGUAUUUUUAUUUUUUAAAAAGUAAUUUUGGUGAGAAAUAGUUUGUAUUUGACUAAUAAAUUUAAAAAAUAUUAAUGAGAAACAAUUGAUAUUUGACCAAACUUUUAAAAAAAAAAAUUUACGUGUAUUUUUUCAAAAGUACUUUUUUGAAAAAAGAGCUUUAAGAGAAAAACUAUUUUUUCUUGAUUCUUCAAAACUACUUUUGCUUCUACUGAAACCAAUUUUCUUCAUUCUAUAAGCUUGGUCAACAUUUUAACUCUUUAAAGAAAUUACUUCUUUAAAAAAUGCAUUUUGAUCUUGAAAAGCUCGACCAAAUAGGCUAGUAAUCAGUUUAGUUAAAGGUUCAGAAUCUGCAUCGUUCUAGGAUUAUAAUUUUGGGGACUAAUUUUGGGUCAUUUAUAGGUGCUAAAAGUAGAAAUAAACUUGACUUUAUUUGUGGACUUCAUAUGAUUUUACUUUUAUAUUUUUGUAUGUUGAUUCAGACUAUAUUUUGUAUUUAAUUAAUAAUCAUAAUCACAAAGAUAGAUUCAGGGAUUUAAAUUUUAUGAAUUCAACCUUUAGAGUUUUUUAAUAUUAAACCCAUUCUAACUUUCAUAUUAUGGGUUCAUACAUGCUACUUAUUGUAACUUUAAUAAAUUUCUACAUAUAAAUUUAUACACAGAAUCAAGAGUACUGAGAUUUUAUAACAACCCGAGCAGUCGUUUUGUGUACUUCAGCCUCGUUCCCCCUUUUGAAUCUCACAUUUGUAUUUGUGAUUUUAUGACAUGUGGAAUUGGUUAUUUUUCUCUCGGAAAUGUUUUAGGUUGAUUUGGACCCUUUGGUUCUUGGUUUAGAUGCUAAGCUAGAAAUUUAGAUUGGAGUUUGAAUUUUGUGAAAUCGACUCCGAAAUAGAAUUUGGAUCCUAUAGGUUCGUAUCAUGAUUUUGAAGUUGGACGUAUGCCUGGAAUUGAAUGCGGAUUUCCUUAGGAUGAUUUGACUUAUUUCGUCGAAACUUGGCAAUUUGAGGUUUUGAAGUUCUCCAAAAUUUUACUAUAGAUUGACUUUUUAGCUAUCAGGUUUGGAAUUUAGUUUUGGGAGUUGAUUAUGUUCAUUUUGGUAUUUGGAAUUUGUUCGCAAAAUUUGGCAUCAUUUAGAGAUUGUUUGAUAGGAUUCGGAUGCUUGAUUACAAUUCUAGAGGUUCUUGAAGUUUUCAUUGAAUUUCAUGCAAUUUGAUGGUGUAUUCUCAGUUUUAGAUGUCAUAUUUAUUUUUUUAUUGGCGGGUGAAUUUGUAUGAUGUUAUUAGACUUGUGUGGAUGGUUAGUUUGAAGUCCAGAGGGCUCGGGUGCGGUUUUGACGUAUUUCGGAAUAGUUUUUAACUGAAAUAGGUUGUUGGUGUGCUGGUGUCUUUCAUGUUACUAUUACGAAUAACAACAUCAAAAUUGCAGUGUUAGUUGGGGUCUUAGGUUGUCGCAUUUUUCGAUAUCUGAAUCGGAAUUACGAAGUAGUACCUGGGCUGGGUAGGUUCACAUUGUGAAACAAUUAGUUACAGGUACGAGAGAAGCAUGCUUCGCAAUUGCAAAGCCCAUGUCACAUUUGUGACGUCCCAUAUAGACUUUCAGCACAGCAUUUUUAAGGUAUUCUUCUCACUUGCGAGAAUUCAAAAUUUCUCUAGUGUCGUAAUAGCAACAUCUACAACAGAACAAAAGGUUGAAAAGUCGGUAUUUCAUCUUAUUUUCUCUCAUUUAUAACCCAAGACUCGGUUGGAGGCGAUUUGGAAAGAAAAUUUAGAUCUAUAAUUAUUGGUUAAGUAAUUUUAAUCAAUUUCAAAUCAUGCUUCAUCAUAAUAAUGGCUCGGCCGAUCAUCUUGAGUUCUAGCUCAUUGUUCGGCAGUUUGAGUCCCUAAGUAACUUUACUUUAGGUAUUAUAACCUACAUGUAUGAUUGGAUUUUGGGAAGUUUGGAGUUGAUUUAAAAGGAAAAAUUUUCAAUUCGGAAGCUUUAAGUUAAACGAGUUGACCAAGGUUUGACUUUUGAGUAAAUAACCAUAGAAUCAGGAAUUGAAGGUUGUAAUAAUAGUAUAUUGAAUUGCAAUUGCAGAUAGCUCUUUCUCUCUAAAAUCCUCUCCCUUCUCUCUAGGAAGAAGGGUGAAUAGUGAUUCUGUCACUAUUCAUCUGGCAUAUCUCCGGAAAUCCGGCGGUGGAUUGUCAAAAAUUUGGUGUCACAAGAUCCCCUUAUUUUUGUGACCAAUCCCCAAUUGAUUUUUCCUCAAAUAUAUAACCAAUUUUCUACAUCUUAAAUCUUAUUUCCACGAUUUACUGUAGCACAAAGUUUUUUUGAAAUUUUCCAUCACUAUUGCCUUUUAAUAGCGUGGAUGUGAUGGAUUGUAGUUGAAGCAUAGGGCAACAAUGGAUGCUACGCCCUCUCCCCAGCCUUUGGCUGUGGGAGAGGCUAUUUUAAUCAAUAUAGAAAAUCAAACAAGUCACGUUACCAAACAAACAUAUGCAACACAACUUGCUGGGCAACAAUCUGUCGCAAACAAAACUCAAAACUGGAACUUUGUCCUGUUACGUUUGAGCAUAGAAUACCUACUCUUGAAUUCACAGUAGAUGAAGUGAAUUCACUUACCAGGGAGGAAGGUCUUCAACAAGCAGUUAUAAUUAAAUUUUCAUAUGGAAAGCCUGAUGCUGAGAAAGAUUUUGCCGAAACAAUUCGACGUCAAAGGUAAUUGCAACAUUGGACAGCUAGAAUAUCGGCAUAUUCUAGUAAGAUUUGAUCUAUUUGAAGAUUUUGCUCAUGUGUUAUCAAGAACAAUUGGAUGUGUUAAGGCAAAAGGAGACGAGUUCUUCUUUAGGACAUUCCCAUGGACAAUCGGAUUUAAUCCCCGUGAAGAAACGUCAAAAGCUGUGGCUUGGAUUUUGUUUCCUGAACUACCAGCAAAUUUCUUCGCCAAAAAAAUCCUUAAUGUCCAUCGCAUCUGCCGUGGGAAAGCCUCUUGCAGUAGAUAAGGGUACUCAAGAUCGAACACGAUCUAGUACGGCACGAGUUAAAGUCUCGAUUAAUUUACUGGACAAACAUCCAAAGAAAAUCAAGAUCAAGAUAGUAGAUAUGAAAUCUGGAAAAAUAGUUGAAUACGAACAGCAGAUCGUGUUUGAUAAUUUACCUAAAUACUGCAUGUACUGUGUCAUCAAGGUCAUGAUGUAAAAUCGUGUCGAUGGAGUAUAGAGGAAUUUAAUGAAGAAGCAGUUCAUGUUGACGAAUCUGAAGGCCGGGGCAGUUUGGCUAAAUUAGGAGGUGAUGCUAGGGAGUACUUUAAUGCUAAUCUUGCAGGACAACGAAUUUAAGGGGUACUACCUAAUGCGAUUGAUGAUGCAGGACAAAAAAAUGUUUCUAGUUCAAAUGUUCCAGCUGCUGAGACUCUUUCAAGGCCAAAUGGUGAUGUUGCACAGCUUUGUAAAGUGCCAACUACUGUUCCAUUGAAUGUUCCUUUGAAUGUUUUAAGUGAAAAACAGUCAACUAUGAUGGUGUCAAAUUUGGAACCUACUGGUGCAUCUGGUGUAGCAGCAGUUGACAAUGCAAAAAGGACUGACCAGAUAUUGAUAGACGUUUCUGUGUAGGAUAAAGUCAUUGACCAGCAGCAGUUGUUGCAAAAUAAUAAGAAUAAAAAAAGUGCAUUGUUUGGUCUGGUACAAACUUGGAGGUUUCUGAUACUUUGAAAGCUACUAGAGAUCCAACUGUUGUAUCAGUUGAACCAGUGGAGAAGUCAACAGUACCAAAUCUAUUUGAUGCUUCAAAGAUUCUUGGACAACAAGGAUGUAAUGAAUUGAAUAAAGCAUCAACUCUGAUUGCUACUAAGCCUACUAAUACAACUGAAAUAUGCAAAGGACAGCAUUACAAGUACAAUGUGCAGCAGCUAGUAGCAAGAGAGGUAAAUGUACCAGCUAGUGUAGAUCCAAAUUUUAAGGCAAAUAUAGCAUUGGAUGUCUUCAAAUGGACUGGUUAAAAUGAAGAGGUGGAUGAUCAGUGUGAUGUUAUGGAAUUGGAGUUUGCAGCAUCUGUUACAAAGGGUAACAAGAGUACCAACUGGACAGUAGAUACUGAAGCAGCUGCUGCAGUUUCUAUUUUUUCAAAGCAGGAUUCUACUCUUGCUUUGCAGACAGUAGAUACUGAAGCAGCUGCUACAGUUUCUAUUUUUACGAAGCUGGAUUCUACUCUUUAUUUGCAAUGUCCAGUUUAUCGAGCUGUAACUCGGAGUGAUAACCAUGAUGCUGUGAUUGAACUUCUUCAAAGAACAGCAAGUCAUACGGAUACUGGUGUUGCCUUGAAGUCAGUUCGAGAAGAUACCUCUAACCAGCCUGAUAUGGUUCAACAACAAGGCAGUGUGACUAUUUCUAUAGGUACAGCUGCUGCAGAUGUCUCUAAUGCUGCCUUAGUUCAAGGUGAGUUUGCUUUAGAGGGGCUGAAUUUGAGAGAUCAAAAACUACUGGUGCUACUGUUGCAGAUGUCUGUAAUGCUGCCUUAGUUCAAGGUGAGUAUGCUUUAGAGGGGGCUGAAUUUGAGAGAUCAAAACCUACUGAUGCUAGACAACACACAAGGGAAGCUGGACAACAUAUUGCUAAGAUAAUUGGUCAUCGGUUUCCAACAAAAAAAAGAACUCCAAAAAGUAAAAAAAAGCUGCAGAUCGCAGAAAAAAGUCUAGGUUUACCAAAAAAUUCAAACUCAUUUGCUGCACUUGGCAAUGUGAAUGAUGAUGAUGGAAAGUUUACUGGAGAGAAUUUGCAGUUGGUUGAGAGUUAUUAUCAAAAUAGCUCAACAACAUUGAAUAAAGCUCAUGCUAAUGAAUCAAAUAUGCAAAUGCAGGCCAAUGAUCAAUAUGCUCCCACGAUUCAUUUCUCCAGUCCACAUGUGGAAAGAGUUUGCAGAUGGUUGAGAGUUAUUAUCAAAAUAGCUCAUCGACUACAACGACAUUGAAUAAAGCUCUUGUCAUGCUGAAGUUUUUCAAAAGAAAGUGAUAGGUAGAAAUAUUAGAAGAGUAAUGAGAAAAGAGAGAAGGAAGAAUAAUGAGUAAGAUGUGAUACAUGGAUGACAAAGGUAGAAUGGUACAGAACCUAUUGUAAAAUGAAGAAAGAGACGAAAGGUGAUAGGCCUUAAGACAGUAAAAGAGUAUAGGCCAUACAGUAAUAUCCUGAUUCCGGAAAAAUGAGUUCGCGGCUCUAACGUGAUUAACAACAGGAAAAGUUAGACCCUAGAGUAAGAGAUGUGAGCACGUGAGUUUUUCCCUCUAUGAAUUACUCCCAUAAUUUCAAAAUAAAAAUAAUUUCUUUUUAUUAUUUACAAUUUUAUAAAUUUCAUGGCAUUUUCUAUUAAUUUUUUGCAUUUUUAUCUAUGCAUAUAAUUCAUAAAAGAUAUAAAAUUAGAGCAUUUGUAUUUAGGACCUAAAUUUUAUUUCUUAGGUUAAUUAUUUAACUAAUGUUGCAAAAAUAGACUAAAAUACCAAAAAUAAUUCAUAUUGCAUUUUUACUCUUUAAUUUCAAUUCUAGUGGUUUUUCUUCUAGAUUAGGAAUUAAUUAAUUAUUAUUAGGAAACAAUUUGUUUAGUUUUAGAAUCAAAUAAUAUUUUUCUAUUUUUAUUUAAUAAAAGUCUAUAAAUCAAAAGAAAAGGAAUAAAAAGGGGAAAAGGAAAAGAUUUUGAAAAAAAGAGUAAUUAAAAAGGGUUGGAAAAGAAUUGGUUUUGGACCUCAUAGUAUUAAGUUCCCUAGCCCAACCAAAAUUACCCCUAAUACCCGCCCAAGCCCGCGUUUGACCCGGACCCAUGCCCAGUCCAUUUCUAUAAAAACGAAACGGUCCCGUUUUAGUGACCUUGGUUCUUAGCCGUUCGAGCUCGAUCUGAUCAAUGAUAGAGAACUGACCCUAUGGGAAGUAUAAAAAUGUCCUAACCUCUCACCCCACCCCAUCUCAGAUCUCCCUCACCUCACCAGAAGACCCUUGUAACGCUACUAGCCGUCGUCGCAAGAAAUCGCCUCACGGUGGUGGCGAGUCCCCAAUAGCCACAAAAUUUACAAUACUGGUUCAUCUCCUCACCCUCAUACCCAUGACAUAACCAGAUUCCCACAAAAUCAAUCCAAAUCUUUCGAAUUUUUAUUUGAAAUCAUAAACCUAGCGCCGCCACAAUUUCUCCGGUGGCGGCGCCACUUUUGUUUGACCUCAAAAUAACACUAGGUGACCACCAGGCUUUCCCAAUACCAAAUCCCUAAACCACACCCCUCGAAUCAAGAUGGAAGUCAAUGAAUCUUAAAAUUCGAAGUCCAAUUCAAAAGAUCAAAAACAUCUCCCUUCAAACCUGGUUGCAUGCAAUAUUUUCUCACAAUGUUGGUCGAGUUUUCCAUCUUUGUUUGAUUAAGCAUGACGGGGUAAGUCUUAUUCAUCCCGUAUGAUUUUAUUUAAAUUGGUUCUGCUUCCCUCUCAUUCCUUUCCCUGGGUUUGAUCAAAAUUCAUAUGGGGUUGUAGGUUCAAACUAGGUCCUCCUUAUGUUCCUCCCCUCUCUUUGUUUUUCCUUUCUUCACUAUGUUGGUUAGUUUAAUUGCAAACUUUCUAAUUAUAUCUUUGUUCGUUUCGGUCUUGUUAAAUGUUCACUUGUUCUUUUUUUUUGUUGCAAAGUUUUCUUUUGUUAUUUUGAUUUCCUUUAGUCGAUCAGAAACUUUUUAUGGUAAUUAGGCUAAGUCAGAUUGUUAUUAAAUGGGGAUUUAGCAUAUUUGGGUUUUAAUCUAAAAUUCAUCACUCGAUUGUCCAAGUUCUGAGUUUUAUAAUCAGUCAAUUUUGUUUGUCACUGACUUGGCUUGGUUUUUGACCCAUUUGGCUUGGGCUUUAGGUCCAUCCUUUGGACUUGAACCUUUUGGUCAUUGAUCCAUGACCCCAUUUGAGAUCCAGGGGUGGUAAAGUUAUGAGGUUUGAGGGGUAGUUUUGGGUCUUUGGGUAGAUAAUCUAGCAGUAACUACCUAAGAAACUCCUACAAGCUUCUAGUAUGGGGUCUAUCUUUAAAUUUCAGACAAUAACUUGGCUAACAAGUCUUAAAAUAAUGGAUUAAAUAGGCAAAAAUAAGAAAUUAAGCAGGGACUAAAAGGAAAAAUAAAAAUAUGAUGGUUUCCUUAUGGCUUGCCUAUUAAGGCAUCUCAAUCUUGCCUUGCAAGAGGGGCUAGGAUAAAAAUAUAGAAAAAUCAUAGAACGGUUGAAAAUUAAAAACAAUAUUGUUCCGUUAAGAUUUCUACUUUGGAUUUUGAAGUUUCUCAUCCCCGAAUGAUAAUUGAUCAUAUUUGAGUGUGUGAAAUGGCUUGAAUUCGGUUCAUGUUGAAAAUUCUAGGUAGAUUCUGUGGUUAAGCUACUGUUUCAUUUGUUUAUGAAUUGAUUUCAUUGAAAAUUGGUUGAAUCUGAGGCUUAUUUGUUGCACUGAUAUUACUGCACCUGUUGAAUAUCAUUUCUUCUCUAUCCCUUCCAAUUUCCAGGUACUUUCUUAGCUAUGAUUGAGGAAUGACUGUUGAACAUGUAAUGUGAAUGAAAGUUCAGUGAAAUGAAGACUACAUUUGAAGCUGGUUUUCCUGUUUCUUUACUGCUUCCAUGCUCUGCAAUUAGACCCUAAAUGUGGAUGUUAAUUUCUUUAUUAUUUUUCUUUGAAAGUGUGUACAUGAAAGUGACCUGCAACUAGUAUUUGGCACUUGUAUCAACUAUAGAAUGCGAUUUGUAGUAGUUAACUGAGAUUGUUUAAGUAUAGUUGCUUCAGGGACCGUUGAAUAAUAUUGAUUAAUGAUGUCAAGUCUGUGUUAGUGUGGAUCUGGGAAAUAACUUAUGUGUGUUCAGGGUAUUAUGAACUUGAGCCUGUAAAUAGAAGCUGAUUUGGGUCUGUAAAGAUGGUUAAACUAUGAAUUUCGGUUGUUCAGUUGUGUUAUUUUGCUUUAGUGUCCUAGGAAACAAAUUUUGGAUUGGUUCUUGUUUUAGGUCAAUAAGGUUUUGGCCUUGAUUAUUUACUUAAAACCAUCAACAGCCUAUGUAUUGUAUCCUUUAAUUUUUCUUGGUUUAAGCUGUGUUGAAAUUGAUGGAAGAAAAUCAUCUAAUUUCAUCUCGUAAAAUUUGAGCUUCCA